rnacentral:rRNA from 1 species
UACGAAGGGGGCUAGCGUUGCUCGGAAUCACUGGGCGUAAAGGGUGCGUCGGCGGGUCUUUAAGACCGGGGUGAAAUCCUGGAGCUCAACUCCAGAACUGCCUUUGAUACUGAGGAUCUUGAGUUCGGGAGAGGUGAGUGGAACUGCGAGUGUAGAGGUGAAAUUCGUAGAUAUUCGCAAGAACACCAGUGGCGAAGGCGGCUCACUGGCCCGAUACUGACGCUGAGGCACGAAAGCGUGGGGAGCAAACAGG